rnacentral:lncRNA from 1 species
CAGCGCCUUGCAUCCCACCCCCACCCUGAGACACACACACACACACACACACACACACGCACAUGCACACGCACACCCAUACCCCUUACGCAGAGGAAGGCCGGCAGAUAAAUAAAUGCCUGGAAACCUGCAUAUGCACACAGAGACCCCAGAACCAUAAAUGCAACCCUCCUCUCACUCACACAUGCAUUUGCCUCCAAGGGGAACCAGGGAUAUUGACUCUAAUUACUAAGCAAAGUGGCGUGUGCGAUAGAGAGGAACUAGCGAGUGAAUAGAGCGGAGAAAGCUGCAGUGACGGGAACAGGCAGGGCUGGGGGCUGCCAGGUCAGGAGGUGUGCAGGGGAGCGUUGCCCAUCCGAGACUCGGAGCAGCAAUAAGCCACAGCAACAGCCCAGGGGGACCCACAGCAAUAGGAGGGAAGGAAGAUCUCGGAAGAGGAGGCAGGCGGACCCAUGCUUGGUGUGUUGCAGGAGCCCUGGAGUCCUAGAUCCCAGAUACUGAAUGACCCACAGGCUGGGGAGAGAUCUGUCCGGGCUCAGUCUUUUCUAGGCUGGCAUCAGGAAGAGGUAUAUAUGUACAAUGGAGUGGGAGAUCCAAGCAGAAAAGGGCCACAGGCCUCCUUGGAGCUGGACAUGUUGCUUUCUCCACUGAUCAGUCAUCCAGUCUUGGACCAUCCCAAGACUAAGAAGGCACCUUUCUGAAGUGAAAGGGCAGCUUCCAACACAUUCUCUUCAUCAUUUCAAGGACAGUGGAGCACUUCUUGCUCAUUUAUGUAGGAGGAAAUUGGGAUGAAGACUAGGUAAGGAACUUCUCCCCAAACAGCCUGCCUACGGAAGGCAUCUUGACCAACUCA